rnacentral:rRNA from 1 species
UACGAAGGGUGCAAGCGUUACUCGGAAUUACUGGGCGUAAAGCGUGCGUAGGUGGUGAGUUAAGUCUGUCGUGAAAGCCCCGGGCUCAACCUGGGAAUUGCGAUGGAUACUGGCUCGCUAGAGUGCGGUAGAGGAGAGUGGAAUUCCCGGUGUAGCAGUGAAAUGCGUAGAGAUCGGGAGGAACAUCAGUUGCGAAGGCGGCCCUCUGGACCAGCACUGACACUGAGGCACGAAAGCGUGGGGAGCAAACAGG